UUAAUGCCAUACAUUGUCAAAUUGUCAGCAU
rnacentral:piRNA from 1 species